GGGCCCUCGGCCGUGAGAGGUGGAAGGCCGGGCAGGCGCGCCGAGGGCCUGCCUGCGGGCCCAGCGCCUCAGGCAAUCAACAUGAAUGAACCCUGUUGGAAUGUUAUGUAUCAGUUGGGUAUUAUUAUGCCUCAUUGCUUCUGAAGGAAGAAGAGUGUAAAAGCUGCUUUGGGGAGUAGAGAAGACUGAAGAGAAGGCAAAGGGUAUAUGCAGAGAAACAAGAUGGCAGUGGUGGAGAGAAAAAGGGAAGGGAGAGGGUCACAGUGGUGCUGAGAAGAAAUAGACUUUUCUGCUGUGAAGGGCAGAAGAUGGCAACUGAUGUUCAUUAAGCUGAUAGUGUCCAGGGACAGCUGGUUGCAGAAAUAACACAUCAUGUGGCAGCCCACUUCUUCAAAAUGAAAGGAUAUCUAGACUUCUGGGUAAGGAUGUGUGAACAGAGGACUAUGGAAGCAUAUUCUCUGGAAUUCAGGUG